GGGGACGAUCUGGUUUCGACGUGGGUUGCAAAGCAGCGCAGGGCAUACCGAGGAUCAGUCUACCUCGUAAAUCCAUCUGAAAAAAAAUAGUCGCAAACGACGAAAACUACGCUUUAGCCGCUUAAUACGGCUAGCCUCUGCACCGGUGGGCCUCAACGCCGGGUCUGGCAACAGACAGCAGAGUCACUAACGAGGAUCGUGUUCUGCAGGGUCACUUUGCAGAACACUAAACGCAAGGUGACUCGCUUGUCAUUAGCCCGCCAGUUGGCGAAUGCCAGGUUAAAUUAAAUAACAUGGCUAAGUAUGUAGAACUGUCUGUAGAGGGCUUGCGGACGCGGGUUCGAUUCCCGCCGUCUCCACCA
rfam:Nitrosomonas sp. Is79A3, complete genome.